GUACAAGAUGUCCUUGACUCUUCAUCAACUGCUACAUUAAUAAUGAACAUAACCCUGGGAAAUUUGGGGAUUUCAUAUGGUGCGAAGAGAGGUCACUUUGAGGUAUUCAGCUGGUGGAUGGCUUCUCUUACAUGUCCCCUUGGCAGGGAUCACUAGAAGUCUGGCUCAGCUGGGGCUAUUCACCAUGGUGGCUACAUAAUGGCUUCUCCAGUAUGGUGAUUUCAGGUUAGUUGAAUUUUUACAUUAUAGCUCAAGACUAGCAAACAUAGUGUUUGAAGAAGCUUGAGUGGAAGCUUCAAGACUUAUGACCAAGAUUAGAAGUCCUGGAAUGUCACUUCUACCAUUUUCUACUGCUCAAGAAAGUCACUAAGACCAGCCCAAAUCCAAGGAGAGAGGAAUUAGAUUUCAACUCUCAACAGGAGAAGUACCAUACUAAAGACUAUAUGACCAUCUUUGGUUGACUGGCAGGUCUUCUGCUCCAUGCUGUAUCAACUGGGGUCACACAAAUAUAAUUAGUUGGUGGCUGGGCUGGGUCUAGAAGAUUGAAAAAGACCCCCCUUAUACAUCUGGUGGCUCAGCUGGGGUGGUUUGAGUGGCUGGAGCACCUCGGUCCUCUUCCAGGUAGAUCUCUUCCUUGAGCAGUCUAAGCUGGCUUCCUUCAAACAUGACAACUGGUUUCCAAAAGGGUUCUUAAAGUCUCAGCUCAGAACAGGCACAGUGUCUAUCACUUCUGCUGCAUCCUCUUGGCCAAAAUAAGUCAUAAGUCCAGAUCAGAGCUGAGAAGAGGGGAAAUAGAUUCUCCUUCUUGAAGAGAAGAUUGGCAUGCACAUCUAAAGAUAAGAAUAAUUGUUGGCUACCUGUGUAGGAGCACAUUCCUUUUUUUGGGUACAAUUUACUGAGACUACACGGACUUGUUUGGCUUCUGCCCAGAAUUUUCCCCUUAGCAACUGCUAAGUUCAGUUGAUUUCCACAGUAGGCUCAGGCAAAGCAUAAGUGCUCUGUUCAGUAUCAACAUCAGACAGAGAGAAUUUUACUUGGACCUUUUCUAAUUACUUGCCACGGUUUAAUAAUUAUCAGUCUGUCUUCUCCCUCAACCCCUCUGAGCCAAAUCUGCCUAUGCCCUACUCUUAUUAUCGCUUUUUAAAUUAUUUGAACCUAACUACUUUCUGGGACCACAACAUCUUGUCUUUCUUCUUCAAGACAUCUUUGCUUUACAUCUUCAGAACAUUGUCAUCUUCUAGUAGUCUCUUUCCAGUAUUUUGGAAAAUACUUGCAUUGCUUCCAAUGGGAGAGUUGUUGUAGGUUCUACUCUUAUUGGUUCUAAGGAAAUUAAUCCCUUUAUUUCCAAAAUAAAGUGAUAGGUCCAAAUCGAUUUUAAAUAGAGUAAAACUUGGGUACACUUGGACCCAUAGGCUAUAAGGGGCCUGUGUGUAUAGAAAGUUUUAGUCAUUUUGAGAGUUCCCAUUAUAUAUUUUGAAAAUAAAAAUUUGGUCUUGAAUAGAAUCAAAUUUGGCCAGAUUUUCUUAACAAUCUGGCAGCAGUAUUAUGCUACUGGCAUAUUUAUUUUGGUUUGUCCCAAGCUUUAGCAAGAAUAGAGUAGGUAAGUUCCAAAUAUUUAAAUAAAUCUAUAUUUCAUUGCAAUAAUCUUAAAAAUUAAUAUAUUAUUCUGUGAGUUGCUUGAGACACUGUAAAACUUACCUAACUAAUGUCUAAAUGCCUAAGCAAUUAGAGGGCCAAAUUAUAUGUUAUCAAAUAAAAUGUAAACAUUCACCUCUAAACAAUAUCAAUAAGCAGGUUAAAUUUGUCUUUUGUAAUUCAGAAUGUUUCUGUUAGUGAAAAAUGUUGAAAAUUACAUAAAUGCAUUUAUUAUUGUAUGUCUCUCAAAAAAUGUAUUAUGCUUCUAUUACUUUGAUGUGUAAAGAAGGCAUAAAUACAUCUUUUUCUUUUAAGAGAUGGGGUCUCUCUAUGUUGCCCGGGCUGGAGUGCUGUGGCUAUUCACAGGUGUGAUAAUAGUGUACUGCAAUCCCAAACUCCUGGCCUCAAGAAAUCCUCUUGCCUUAGCCGCCCCAGGAGCUGGGACUAUGGGUGCAAGCUACCUUGGUGGCCAUAAAUAUAUCUUAUUGGGAAGUCAGGACUUCUCUGAGAGGGCUUUAAACAUGGUCAGGUUUUUAGAAUAGAAAAGUCUCUAUUGGCAGUGACAAAGGUUAAGAGCUGUCUUAGCAACAGAAAACUCUUAGAUAGUAGGCUACAUUUUAGCUAUAAGAAUGAAGAAAUCUUGGUGAGAAUCAUAUAUUAAUAUAUUUGUUAACAAUGCCUAUAUCUCACAUAGAUAUUAUAAGAUUGUCCUUUUAAGAAAUUAUCCUUUUAAGAUUUGUCAUGCUUUUCAAUUCAAAAAAACUCCCAUAGCCAAAAUGCAACUGAGAUCUGAAAUGUCAAAUUUUUGCACUCUCUGCUUUGUCAGAUUUCCAGUUGCUCUCUGGACCUUGGCCGACUUCACUGGCAAAGUCAAAUUGAUGACUUGCUUGUAUUUCUGAUUCCAGUUCUAUUAAUUCAAAGGGAUUCUUUUUGAAGAAUCAAAAAGUAUUCUCAGUAGACUUAUGCAAAUCAUUACUAGUUAUUGCUCUGUGUACUUUUAUUCAAAGUAAAAUUGAAAAACAUUAAGAACUUUCUGGGAUAGUUACAAAUUAUGUGAGUGCUAGUUUUUCUUAAAGUGUGCUCUUUAUUAAUUUUAUUUUUGACAAUUCCCAUCACCAUAUCUAUGAAACAACAUUCUUUCCUUAAGUUAAAAGACUAAUUUCAAAAACUAUUUAAGGAUUACUAUGGGAAAACAAAGAUUAACAAUCUAUAAUUAUUUAGCAUAGAAACUUAAGUGGUUGAAAAAAAUGGAAGUUUUAAAACAUUGCUGAUUUUUUUCAUGGCUAGUCAUAAUUAAAGUCUCCAAAAUGUGUUUUAAAAUUUAUCUUCUGUUUAAAUUAAUACAAUAUUGCAUAUUUAUCAGUGAUGUCAAAGUUUUCAAUUUCCAAGUAAAUAUUGGAAAAUUUUUAGUUUUCUUGUCUUCGUUAACUUCUUCUUUCCUUUCUUAUAAAAUUAACUUACAUCUUCCAUUUAUUUAUUUAUUUAUUUCUGAGACAGAGUUUCACUCUGUUGCCCAGGCUAGAGUGCAGUGGCACGAUCUCAGCUCACUGCAACCUCCGCCUCCCGGGGUCAAACAAUUAUCCUGCUUCAGCCUCCUGAGUAGCUGGGAUUACAGGCAUGCACCAUCAUGCCCGGCUAAUUUUUGUAUUUUUAGUAGACAUGGGGUUUUGCCAUGCUGACCAGGCUGGUCUUGAACUCCUGGCCUCAGGUUAUCCACCCGGGUUAGCCUCCCAAAGUGCUUGGAUUACAGGCGUGUGGAGCCCAGCCUACAUCUUCCAUUUUAAGAUUUUAUUUUUCACAUCACAUUUCUCUUCCAUAUUGUCUAAUCCCAGCUACACUUAUUAUUAUCCCCCCUCAUUUCAUUCAUGCCUGAUCCUUUUGUUUACUCUGCCUCUCCAGCUUGGAGCUCCUGUGUGUUUAUGACUAUGUUUGUAGCAAUGCUUUUGUAAUAGUAAGCAGACCUUCCACUGAUUCAGCAAAGACUUAUUGAGCACCUAUUAUGUGCCAAUCAGAGUGCUAGAUUUUGUAGGUAAGAUAAUGAUAAUCCUGCUGAGCUCUUUGAAGUUAGGGGUAUGUCUUCUUCCUCCUGGUAUUCCCUAGAGCUGAACACACACCUGACCCAUGAUAGAGCUUCCAUAAAUCAUUAUUAAAAGUAUAGCCUAGACAAUCCUAAGCAAAAAGAACAAAGCUGGAGGCAUCACACUACCUGACUUCAAACUAUUCUACAAGGCUACAGAACCAAAGCAGCAUGGUACUGGUACCAAAACAGACAUAGAGACCAAUGGAACAGAAGAGACCUCAGAAAUAACACCACACAUCUACGACCAUAUGAUCUUUGACAAACCUCACAAAAACAAGUCAUGGGAAAAGGAUUCCCUAUUUAAUAAAUGGUUCUGGGAAAACUGGGUAGCCAUAUGUAGAAAGCUGAAACUGGAUCCCUUUCUUACACCUUAUAUAAAAAUUAAUUCAAGAUGGAUUAAAGACUUAAAUGUUAG
rnacentral:lncRNA from 1 species